rnacentral:lncRNA from 1 species
AUAACCAAAACUCAGAACCAUUGAGUUAUACUCUUUAUUAGAAAUCUGAUUAACAAGUUUACAACUCUCUUAAUUGGUUUUACACACAGCCUGAACCGAUUCAGCUUGUCACUGAGAUUUCUAACCUUAAACAAGAACGGAUCUAAAGAACAACACUCUUUCUUAUCCUUCUUGCUUUCCGAAAUAGAGUAAACACUACUCUCUCAAAAGAA